AUGUUAGAGAGUCUUCACAUAGUUACAUUAUUAUUCAACUACUCAUUGAUCUUCACUUAUAUCUUUUGGAGUAGUUUGUCAUUUACUCUAGUGCUUCACUUAUAUCUUUUUAGAGCAUGGUGGUGGUUUUAUUUUAUAGAAGUUAUUGAACUCUCAUUCUUCACUUAUAUUAUUUUGAGAGUCCUAAAUAGCAUGGUAAUUUUUUUUGGUUAUGAAACUAGUCCUAAUAUGAUAGGCAUCCAAGAGGGAUAUAAUAAAAACUUUCAUAUAAAGUGCAUUGAAUACUAUGUGAAGUUUGAUUCCUUAUGA
rnacentral:rRNA from 1 species